GUGCUUGCUCAGGCAGCACAUCUGAUGGUAUUGGAGCAAUACAGAAUAUUAGCAUGACCCCUACACGAGGAGGACAUGCAAGUUCAUGAAAUGACACAAAUUAUG